AACGAACGCUGGCGGCAGGCUUAACACAUGCAAGUCGAACGCCCCGCAAGGGGAGUGGCAGACGGGUGAGUAACGCGUGGGAAUCUACCCAGUUCUACGGAACAACUGAGGGAAACUUCAGCUAAUACCGUAUACGCCCUACGGGGGAAAGAUUUAUCGGAAUUGGAUGAGCCCGCGUUGGAUUAGCUAGUUGGUGGGGUAAUGGCCUACCAAGGCGACGAUCCAUAGCUGGUAUGAGAGGAUGAUCAGCCACACUGGGACUGAGACACGGACCAGACUCCUACGGGAGGCAGCAGUGGGGAAUAUUGGACAAUGGGCGCAAGCCUGAUCCAGCCAUGCCGCGUGAGUGAUGAAGGCCUUAGGGUUGUAAAGCUCUUUCAGUGGGGACGAUAAUGACGGUACCCACAGAAGAAGCCCCGGCUAACUUCGUGCCAGCCGCCGCCGUAAGAC
rnacentral:rRNA from 1 species